rnacentral:rRNA from 1 species
AACGAACGCUGGCGGCAUGCCUAACACAUGCAAGUCGAACGCCCCGCAAGGGGAGUGGCGAACGGGUGAGUAACGCGUGGGAACCUGCCCAGCAGUUGGGGGAUAACCGCGGGAAACUAGCGGCUAAUACCGAAUACGUCCUAAGGGAGAAAGAUUUAUCGCUGUUGGAGGGGCCCGCGUCGGAUUAGCUAGUUGGUGAGGUAACGGCUCACCAAGGCAUCGAUCCGUAGCUGGUCUGAGAGGAUGAUCAGCCACACUGGGACUUAGACACGGCCCAGACUCCUACGGGAGGCAGCAGUGGGGAAUAUUGGACAAUGGGGGCGAACCCUGAUCCGGCAAUGCCGCGUGAGUGAUGAAGGCCUUAGGGUUGUAAAGCUCUUUUUACCGGGGACGAUGAUGACGGUACCCGGAGAAUAA